GGAGGUGUAGCUAAGUGGUAAAGCAGUGCUUGCCUAGCAAGUAUGAGGUUCUGGGUUCAAUCCCCAGCACCACAC
rnacentral:tRNA from 1 species